GAAGGCAGAGGCUGCCACAUCCUACUUAUGUCUUUAAAGGACAGGGCAGACGUGAACACCUCCAGCCUGUCCCACCAGAGCCCUGAUGCAGAAGGGAGACCCAAGCCAGCCCAUACAGGCACAGUCAACACAAAGAGAGCCAAGGUGGAAGUUGGUGCAGAGCUCAGCUGGCAGGCAGAGGAGAGCCAGCAGGUUCAAAAGUUUUGAGGGGAUCAUGAGCCACUUGGGAGGCUGAGCAGGAGAGCACUGAACCCUGCAGGUGGAGGAUGGGUCCUACUUCUGAGAUUCCUACAGAACAGGCUCGUAAAAGCUGCUUUUGACGGAACAACACUGACUCUGUCCUUGGGUCCACCUUUAACUAAAAGCUGGCUGAGAGCGCACCUCUUCCUUCCUCUUGUAUCUGUCUCCUUUACUUUGGGUCAGUCAUUCACUCAGUACUGCAGCAAAGACUGCCAGUCCUGUCCUGUCACCAAAGCAGAGACAGAAGCCCACAAGGAUGCACGUGUGUGUAACCACAACUCCACUUCUCCCAUGCAUGGACACCUAGGCCAUCUGUCCUAUAAUAAGCCCUCAGUAGGGGCUGGAGAGAUGGCUCAGGGGUUAAGAGCACUGACUGCUCUCCAAGAGGUCCUGAGUUCAAUUCCCAGCAACCACAUGGUGGCUCACAACCAUCUGUAAUGGGCAUCCCAUGCCCUCUUCUGCUGUGUCUGAAGAUAGCAACAGUGUACCCACAUCCAUGAAACAAAUAAAUAAAUCUUUAAAAAAA
ensembl:lncRNA